UCCAGAUGUUUCCCUGGAAUGCUCCCUUGGUUACUGAGGCAUCAUCGGUAAAAAGAUAGAUGCUUUCUCCUGAGUGCUGGUAGUCUUCGCCUUGGAGAACACCAAAUACAAGGAGAGAGAAAAAUUUAAAAGAUAAUAAAAGAAAAUGAAAUGAAUAUGGAACACAUAUCUGGCAGCCCUGAGUACCAAGGAAAGCAUAAUUGAAAGGUUGGCAAUUCAUAUAUCAAUCCAGGGUUAUAGCUGGGGCUACAAAUCCACUGCUCCUGGAAGCCAUUUUUUCCUCCAUUUUGUUGUUGUUGCUGCUGCUGUUGUUGUUGCUGCUGCUGCUGUUGGACAAAACAGAGAGAAAUCAAGAGAGGGGGAGACAGAAAGGGAGAGAGGAAGAUAGACACCUGCAAACCUGCUUAACCACUUGUGAAGGUGUGGAGCCGGGGGCUCAGACCAAGAUCAUUGCACCCGUCCUUGAGCUUCUCACCACGUGCACUUAACCCACUGCACUACUGCCCAGCCCUUAGUCUUACAAACUUGAAACAAACUAUUAAUAACAAAUAAAAAAAUUUAAAAAAUAAAAUGCCAUCAUAAACACUGGUUGCAUGGAUGUUUCAUAUCCAGACAUGGCUUUUUUCACUUUAUAUCUCAAUUGUGCAUUAAUUCAUAAUUCUGGGAAUUGUGAUACAUUUUAGAAGACUAAUUAAUUUAAAUUUACACGCUAAGGAAAGCUCAAUGAACUCAAGGUACAGGAGUAAAAUAUCAUGGACAUCCCCAAUCCAGACAUUAGUGUGACGCAAACCAAAAGAACACCCAUUCACUAAGAGCAUUGCUCUGGUUGAUGACAGUAUCUGAGAUUGAACCUAGGACUUCAGAGCCUCAGGCACGAAAGUAUUUUGGCAUAACCACAAUUCUGUCUCCCCAGAUAAUUUUUUAUCAUCUUCAGAACUAUGCCACUCUAAAUAAAUAGAUUUAAUUUUUGGCAAAGCAAGUUGUCUUCCCUGGCCUUUAUUUUAUUUUAUUUUAUUUUAUUCUUUUCUUUUUCUUGUGGUGCUGGGACCUCCAGCAUGCAUGAUUUCAGUGUUGUUUUUUUUAACUUAUUUCUAAAAUAAAAAAUAUCAACAAGCCCAUAGGAUAAG